rnacentral:lncRNA from 1 species
CCUUGUAUGGUAAAAUGACUGUAAUACCCUUGUAAGGUAAUAUGACUGAUUUGCCCUACAAUGUGUAUGACUGUAUUUGAGCAUGCCAUGUUAUAUGUAUGUUGCAUCCAUGUAAGAUAUUAUAAUACGAUGCAUGACAUGUUGCAUGGGGUUGGGAUUGUUAUUUUGAAGAAAGUAUACUGUACUGAUAUGGUCGCAAGGGUCGC